UACGAAGGGGGCUAGCGUUGUUCGGAAUUACUGGGCGUAAAGCGCGUGUAGGCGGGUCGGCAAGUCAGGCGUGAAAUCCCCAGGCUCAACCUGGGAACUGCGCUUGAAACUGCCGGUCUUGAGUAUCGGAGAGGGUGGCGGAAUUCCUGGUGUAGAGGUGAAAUUCGUAGAUAUCAGGAGGAACACCGGUGGCGAAGGCGGCCACCUGGACGAUUACUGACGCUGAGACGCGAAAGCGUGGGGAGCAAACAGG
rnacentral:rRNA from 1 species